rnacentral:rRNA from 1 species
AGAGUUUGAUCAUGGCUCAGAACGAACGCUGGCGGCGUGGAUAAGACAUGCAAGUCGAACGCUAAUUUCAGGGUAGCAAUAUUCUGAAGUUGGAGUGGCGCAAGGGUGCGUAACACGUGGGUAAUUUGCCGUGAAGUUGGGGAUAACUCGCUGAAAGGCGAGCUAAUACCGAAUGUGAAAAUUGGGAGGCAUCUUCUGAUUUUCAAAGUUGGGGACCGUAAGGCCUGACGCUUCACGAUAAGCCCGCGGCCUAUCAGCUAGUUGGUGAGGUAAUGGCUCACCAAGGCUAAGACGGGUAGCUGGUCUGAGAGGACGACCAGUCACACUGGAACUGAGACACGGUCCAGACACCUACGGGUGGCAGCAGUCGAGAAUUUUUCUCAAUGGGCGAAAGCCUGAAGGAGCGACGCCGCGUGGGGGAUGAAGGGCUUCGGCUCGUAAACCCCUGUCAUUUGCGAACAAACCUUACGAUCUAAUAAGUCGUGAGCUGAUUGUAGCGAAAGAGGAAGGGACGGCUAACUCUGUGCCAGCAGCCGCGGUAAUACAGAGGUCCCAAGCGUUGUUCGGAUUCACUGGGCGUAAAGGGUGCGUAGGUGGCAAGGUAAGUUUGAUGUGAAAUCUCCGGGCUUAACCCGGAAACUGCAUUGAAUACUAUCUUGCUUGAGUGGAGGGGGGACUGGAAUUCUUGGUGUAGCAGUGAAAUGCGUAGAUAUCAAGAGGAACACCAGUGGCGAAGGNNAGUCCCUGGACAACUCCUGACACUGAGGCACGAAAGCUAGGGGAGCAAACAGGAUUAGAUACCCUAGUAGUCC